AGCCUUGAACACCCGGGCUCAAGGAAUCCUCCCGUCUCAGCCUCCCAAGUAGCUGGAACUACAGUUAUGUAGGUGAUGAAGCUGCGCAGACGACUGACCUACCUACGUGCAACCAACAACAAAGACAAGUACAGUCCGCGUGGACCAGAGCCAGCAUGUAAAUGCACACCCCUUGAUCUAGUUAUUUCACUUCUCGGAGUUUAUUCAAAGGAGAAAAUCCCACAGCCCAGGUUCUGUUCUAGGCCCUGGGAAUACAUCAGUGAACACAGAAGGCAAAAGACCUGACUGCAUCAUGGAGCUUACUUUCCAGUGCGGGGAGAAAGCUGAACUCAUGGUGUGUUCGAAGGUUAAACAUAUAUGAAAAAAAGUAGAUUGAAUGGGUGAAAGAUAAAGAAGAAGCCAGGAUGAUUCCAAGGUUUCGGACUGAGCACUUGGAAGGAUUGAGUUGGGAAAGAUCGGGACGUUAAAUGUGAGAAGUGCACCACUGAGUCAAGUAGAAGUGUUUUGUAGAGAGUUACAGAGGCAAGUCUGGAGUUCAGGCGAGAGGUCAGGGCUGGAGACAUAACCUGGGGAGAGAGCAUAGAGACCUAUUUCAAGCCAUGAGUCUGGAUGAGGAGCCUGAGAGAAGAAAAGAGGACCAAAGCCUGAGACCUGGGUUCGCCCCUCCAAUUUCCAGAGGCUGGGAGAAGAGCAGAAACCACAGAGGAAGUGGAGAGAAGACCAGUGAGGUGGCAUCUGUAUCCUGGGGUGAAGGAAGAAGAGAGACUCUUGGAUGGGCAUUUGAGGUGGCAGCUUCCAAGAGUCCCUCAAGCCUCUUACAUACCUGAUGUCUGCACCAUACUGAGUAUUAAAUACACACCUGUGGAAUGAAUGAAGAUAUUCGUAGCUGCUUCUCUUCCUCUUCUCUAUGGCUCCUCUAUGACCUCGUUAACUUUGGGAGAGAAGGCUGGCUGUUGGCAGAAGUUGAAAAUCUACCCUCCCUUUCUUUGUGUCUUUCCUAUUUUGCAAGCUACCAUUCCGGAAGCAUACGGAAGCAACACCAUGUAGUAGAAAGAACACUCAAUUUGGAUUUCAACAGAGCUGGCUUGGAACCCUGGCUCCACCAAAAGCUCUGUGAAGUUAUUUAACCUCUUUGAACCUCAGGUUCCCUGUCUAUAUAAUGAGCAUAACAGCACCCAUGGCAGAAGCAUGGUGAGGAUUUGGUGGCACAUGGAUGUAAGUGGCACCUGGGCACUGGGCUCAGAGGUGGAAUUCAGGAAGUGGAACUUCCCCCAUUUUCCCUCAGACACCUUCAUGCCUGAUCUCUGCCCCACUCUUGGGCUCUAGAGACACGUGCUGGGGUCCUGGUUCCUGGAAAGAUGAAAUGCUCCAAAAAUUAAAUUCUACAAAAUCCUACAGAAAACUAGAAGACUCGGUUCUCUGAACUUUAGUCAUUAAAAAUGUCACACGCAAGGGAUGAACGAUUUUAAUUUGAUUCAAUUCAGUUCAGUUCUGCAGACAAUAGCCCCACAGACCCUGCACUAGGCACGGAGCUGGCCUGAGGACACAGAACUCCUGUCUCAAGGUGCUCACACUAAGCCCUGGGGGAAAGACAGCUAUGAAGCAAAUUGUAGUACCCUUGGUACAACAGAGAACUGUGUAGUAGGUCCCACAGUGGCACAAUGGGAGCAGGGGCACAGAAGGGCAGAGAGCCAGGGGAGGCCUCUCAGAGGAUGAAAUGAAUCAGCUGAAUAUUAAGGGAUGAACAGGUGUUGGCCUGCUAGGGGAGGAGGUAGGAAAGUCUUUUCCAGCACGAGAACCAGCCUGUGAAAGAGAUGGAGAGGCCACACUGAUGGAAGGGCUGGAGAACAAUUUUGUAGCAUUCUAUGCACAGUUGCUGGAGACUGUUCCCCCAUCUUCACCGAUCUUCAGCACAGUUUGAGAACCCUGUGGGCCGGUAUGUUCAGGGAAGACUUCCUGGAUAAUGCUGUCUCUGCUAAUUUAGAAGGCACCUUUUCUCCCCUAGAUAAUGCUAGGAUAAGGCUUACAUAUUUUACAAGUUUUUCCUCCUCCCCCUUUUUUCACACAUAGUGUUAUAGGGUAAUUCAUCCCUUUAUUCAAAAACCAUAUUUUAAUAGCUCCUGGGAUGUGCCAGGCCCUGUGUAUGUGUUGGUUCUGCAGAGCUAAAACCCAUAAAAGUUAUUCUCAGUCCAGUAGGAGAGUUGAUGUGUCAGUAGAUAAUUAAAAUGCUAGUGGCACUGGCUAGAAUGGAGGGGCCUAGAGGGCCUACCAGGAGCCUACCGCUAGUGGUACUCACAAGAUGGGGCAGAAUCUUCAAAGUCUUUGGUGGAAGGGUGCUGAAGCUUAAAUUCAAGUUACAUGCGAAUUGCCUUACCUACUUACAAAAUCAGUUUUUGGAAAAAGGUGGUAAGGAGGUUUCAGUGGGUGAGUAGGAGGUAAUGUUUGUUAGGUACCUACAGCAGGGCCCUCUUACAGCUAGGAUUUCAUUUAACAGCUUUAAGAGGUAGGUGUUUUUAGUCCCAUUUUUCCAGAAAAGAAACCAGAAACACAGAGGUUAAGUGACUAGCUCAAACUCACACAACUAGUAAAUGUGCCAGCCAGAAUUUUGACGUAGGUUGGACUGACGUGAGAGCCCAACUCUUAGAGUACACUGUAAAGGUGGCCCUUGUCCUAACCUCCUCUGCUUAAGGCUGUAACCUGUAGCUCCAAGUGACCAUUGGACACUUGAAAUGUGGACAGGGUGACCAAACUACAUUUUUACUUUUUUGGAAUUUUAAUUCAUUAAAAUUUUAAAUUAAAAACAAAUGCUUCAUUUAAUUGUUAGAGAACUUUUAUGUCUGUUUGAACAACUUGGGCAUGUGAAUCUACUCUUUCAACUAUAAAUUUGAUGAACUCUAAGUAUGUCUGAUGCAAAUUUUGUGUUUGCAUCGCGAUGCACUGUAAGUGUAAAAUACACUCCAGAUUUGGAAGACACAUUGAUUAUAUAUUGGAAGGCAGCUAUGCUUACCACUCUGUCACCAAUGCCAUAUUAAUUAUAUUUUGAAGGGAGAA